AUUUCUUCUUCCUCCUCCUCUUCUUCCAUUUCACUUUUCUUUUCCUCCUCUUCCUCCUUUCCCUUCUUCCUCCUCCUCUUCCUCCUUUUCUUUUCCCCUUCCUCCUCCUCUUCCUCCUCCUUUUCUUCUUCCUCUUCCUCUUCUUCCGUUUCACUUUUCUUUUCGUCCUCUUCCUCCUUUCCCUUCUUCCUCCUCCUCUUCCUCCUCCUCUUCCUCCUUUUCUUUUCCUCUUCCUCCUCCUCUUCCUCCUCCUCUUCCUCCUCCUCCUUUUCUUUUCCUCUUUCUCCUCCUCUUCCUCCUCCUUUUUCCUCCUCCUUUUUGCUCCUCCUCCUCUUCCUCCUUUCCCUCCUUCCUCCUCCUCUUCUUCCUUUCCCUCCUUCCUCCUCCACUUCUUCCUUUUCCUCUUUCUCCUCCUCUUCCUCCUCCUUUUUCCUCCUCCUUUUCCUUCUUCCUCCUCCUCUUCCUCCUCCUUCUUCCUCCCCUCCUCCUCCUCCUCCUCCUCGCUGACCUCCCCUCCCCCGUUGGCAGCACCUGCAGCGGCUGCCCUGGGAGAGCUCCGGGACGCUCCGGAACCUUCCGGUGACGCGCCUGCCGGGGCUGCGCUUCCUGCUGCGCUACGGCCUCGGACAGGUGCCGGGGUCGGUGCUGAGUCGGGGCCUGGACCCCCAAAGCGCUUUCUACGUGCUGAACCCCCAGCGCGACCUGGGCGGCACCGAGGAGCGAUUCCGCGCCUGGUUCCAGAGGUGGGACCCCGAAAUCUGACCCCAAAAAUGGUCUGGGACCCCAAAAACUGACCCCAAAAAUGGCCUGGGACCCCAAAAACCAACCCAAAACCGCCCGGGACCCCAAAAUCCAACCUGGGAACCCAAAAACUGACCCCAAAAUCCAACCUGGGACCCCAAAAACCCACCCCAAAACGGCCCGGGAGCCCAAAAACUGACCCCAAAAACUGACCUGGGACCCCAAAAACUGACCCAGGAACCCAAAAACCGACCCCAAAACCACCCGGGACCCCAAAAACUGACCCCAAAAACAAUCUGGGACCCCAAAAACUGACCCCAAAAACCCACCCGGGAACCCAAAAACCGACCCCAAAAACAAUCUGGGACCCCAAAAACCGACCUUGGAACCCAAAAACUGACCCCAAAAUCCAACCUGGGACCCCAAAAACCNNNNNNNNNNGGAACCCAAAAACUGACCCCAAAAUCCAACCUGGGACCCCAAAAACCCACCCCAAAACGGCCCGGGAGCCCAAAAACUGACCCCAAAAUCUGACCUGGGACCCCAAAAACUGACCCAGGAACCCAAAAACCGACCCCAAAACCACCCGGGACCCCAAAAACUGACCUCAAAAACGAUCUGGGACCCCAAAAACUGACCCCAAAAAUGGUCUGGGACCCCAAAAACCAACCCAAAA
rnacentral:lncRNA from 1 species